rnacentral:rRNA from 1 species
GAAUGUUAUCACGGGAGACACACGGCGGGUGCUAACGUCCGUCGUGAAGAGGGAAACAACCCAGACCGCCAGCUAAGGUCCCAAAGUCAUGGUUAAGUGGGAAACGAUGUGGGAAGGCCCAGACAGCCAGGAUGUUGGCUUAGAAGCAGCCAUCAUUUAAAGAAAGCGUAAUAGCUCACUGGUCGAGUCGGCCUGCGCGGAAGAUGUAACGGGGCUAAACCAUGCACCGAAGCUGCGGCAGCGACGCUGAUGCGUUGUUGGGUAGGGGAGCGUUCUGUAAGCCUGUGAAGGUGUGCUGUGAGGCAUGCUGGAGGUAUCAGAAGUGCGAAUGCUGACAUAAGUAACGAUAAAGCGGGUGAAAAGCCCGCUCGCCGGAAGACCAAGGGUUCCUGUCCAACGUUAAUCGGGGCAGGGUGAGUCGACCCCUAAGGCGAGGCCGAAAGGCGUAGUCGAUGGGAAACAGGUUAAUAUUCCUGUACUUGGUGUUACUGCGAAGGGGGGACGGAGAAGGCUAUGUUGGCCGGGCGACGGUUGUCCCGGUUUAAGCGUGUAGGCUGGUUUUCCAGGCAAAUCCGGAAAACUAAGGCUGAGGCGUGAUGACGAGGCACUACGGUGCUGAAGCAACAAAUGCCCUGCUUCCAGGAAAAGCCUCUAAGCAUCAGGUAACAUCAAAUCGUACCCCAAACCGACACAGGUGGUCAGGUAGAGAAUACCAAGGCGCUUGAGAGAACUCGGGUGAAGGAACUAGGCAAAAUGGUGCCGUAACUUCGGGAGAAGGCACGCUGAUAUGUAGGUGAAGUCCCUCGCGGAUGGAGCUGAAAUCAGUCGAAGAUACCAGCUGGCUGCAACUGUUUAUUAAAAACACAGCACUGUGCAAACACGAAAGUGGACGUAUACGGUGUGACGCCUGCCCGGUGCCGGAAGGUUAAUUGAUGGGGUCAGCGCAAGCGAAGCUCUUGAUCGAAGCCCCGGUAAACGGCGGCCGUAACUAUAACGGUCCUAAGGUAGCGAAAUUCCUUGUCGGGUAAGUUCCGACCUGCACGAAUGGCGUAAUGAUGGCCAGGCUGUCUCCACCCGAGACUCAGUGAAAUUGAACUCGCUGUGAAGAUGCAGUGUACCCGCGGCAAGACGGAAAGACCCCGUGAACCUUUACUAUAGCUUGACACUGAACAUUGAGCCUUGAUGUGUAGGAUAGGUGGGAGGCUUUGAAGUGUGGACGCCAGUCUGCAUGGAGCCGACCUUGAAAUACCACCCUUUAAUGUUUGAUGUUCUAACGUUGACCCGUAAUCCGGGUUGCGGACAGUGUCUGGUGGGUAGUUUGACUGGGGCGGUCUCCUCCUAAAGAGUAACGGAGGAGCACGAAGGUUGGCUAAUCCUGGUCGGACAUCAGGAGGUUAGUGCAAUGGCAUAAGCCAGCUUGACUGCGAGCGUGACGGCGCGAGCAGGUGCGAAAGCAGGUCAUAGUGAUCCGGUGGUUCUGAAUGGAAGGGCCAUCGCUCAACGGAUAAAAGGUACUCCGGGGAUAACAGGCUGAUACCGCCCAAGAGUUCAUAUCGACGGCGGUGUUUGGCACCUCGAUGUCGGCUCAUCACAUCCUGGGGCUGAAGUAGGUCCCAAGGGUAUGGCUGUUCGCCAUUUAAAGUGGUACGCGAGCUGGGUUUAGAACGUCGUGAGACAGUUCGGUCCCUAUCUGCCGUGGGCGCUGGAGAACUGAGGGGGGCUGCUCCUAGUACGAGAGGACCGGAGUGGACGCAUCACUGGUGUUCGGGUUGUCAUGCCAAUGGCACUGCCCGGUAGCUAAAUGCGGAAGAGAUAAGUGCUGAAAGCAUCUAAGCACGAAACUUGCCCCGAGAUGAGUUCUCCCUGACUCCUUGAGAGUCCUGAAGGAACGUUGAAG